rnacentral:rRNA from 1 species
AUUGAACGCUGGCGGCAUGCUUUACACAUGCAAGUCGAACGGCAGCGGGGGCUUCGGUCCGCCGGCGAGUGGCGAACGGGUGAGUAAUGCAUCGGAACGUGCCCAGUCGUGGGGGAUAACACAUCGAAAGAUGUGCUAAUACCGCAUACGUCCUGAGGGAGAAAGCGGGGGAUCUUCGGACCUCGCGCGAUUGGAGCGGCCGAUGUCGGAUUAGCUAGUUGGUGGGGUAAAAGCCCACCAAGGCGACGAUCCGUAGCGGGUCUGAGAGGAUGAUCCGCCACACUGGGACUGAGACACGGCCCAGACUCCUACGGGAGGCAGCAGUGGGGAAUUUUGGACAAUGGGGGCAACCCUGAUCCAGCCAUGCCGCGUGAGUGAAGAAGGC